GUGCUGUGCGUUGCCCUAGAGUUCCCUGCGGGGCCUCGGUUCAGUAUCGGGGACGUUCUGUGCCGGGAGGUCGGAGUGUGACCUUCCGGCGCCUCGGGGCCCGUGGCACAGCCCCGGGUCUGUUUGGCCCGUGCUCGCUCUGCGCUUACCCCGACGGGGUGCUCAGAGGGUGGCUGUAGGCCGGGCCCAGCGGUGUCCCUCAGGUUCACGGACGGCCCCGGGGCUUUGCGUCUCCUCCUGGAGAUCUUUAGAACUGAUCACACUCGGGCUGCGCCUGCAGGAGGACGCGAUGCCCCGGACAGCCUCCGGAAGUCCCCGCAACCUCAGCUGUGCUGUCGCGAAUCGCACGGGGCUGACUUCGUGUGCCGUUGCACUCGGCCGUGAAUUUUCACGCAGCAGCUGUGUGCCAGGACACGCAAAUAAGUGAAGGCGUUCCAAUUCCCUGUUACAUCGUUACUGAAUAUCAGAGCAUCCGGAUCUGCAUGAAGUGCUGAAGAGGAGGAUGCUGAGUCCCACUGCAGCAUAGAUGGAAAAGUCAUGAAAAAACAUUGGGAUUUUCUGGAGUUAUAGAUUGUAUCAUAUGGUGUAUGUGACCGAUCAUGAGAGAGAAGACCUGAGGCCUGAUCCUGCAACUGUUACAAACAUCCUACAACAGCCAUUUCAGUCACUAAGAAUGAAUAUUGAGGGUGCAAGAUUCUCCUACA